rnacentral:rRNA from 1 species
GAUGAACGCUGGCGGCGUGCCUAAUACAUGCAAGUCGAGCGAACGGACGAGAAGCUUGCUUCUCUGAUGUUAGCGGCGGACGGGUGAGUAACACGUGGAUAACCUACCUAUAAGACUGGGAUAACUUCGGGAAACCGGAGCUAAUACCGGAUAAUAUUUUGAACCGCAUGGUUCAAAAGUGAAAGACGGUCUUGCUGUCACUUAUAGAUGGAUCCGCGCUGCAUUAGCUAGUUGGUAAGGUAACGGCUUACCAAGGCAACGAUGCAUAGCCGACCUGAGAGGGUGAUCGGCCACACUGGAACUGAGACACGGUCCAGACUCCUACGGGAGGCAGCAGUAGGGAAUCUUCCGCAAAGGGCGAAAGCCUGACGGAGCAACGCCGCAUGAGUGAUGAAGGUCUUCGGAUCGUAAAACUCUGUUAUUAGGGAAGAACAUAUGUGUAAGUAACUGUGCACAUCUUGACGGUACCUAAUCAGAAAGCCACGGCUAACUACGUG